rnacentral:rRNA from 1 species
AUUGAACGCUGGCGGCAGGCCUAACACAUGCAAGUCGAACGAGUGGCGGACGGGUGAGUAAUGUCUGGGAAACUGCCCGAUGGAGGGGGAUAACUACUGGAAACGGUAGCUAAUACCGCAUACCAUCGGAUGUGCCCAGAUGGGAUUAGCUAGUAGGUGGGGUAACGGCGCACCUAGGCGACGAUCCCUAGCUGGUCUGAGAGGAUGACCAGCCACACUGGAAGUGAGACACGGUCCAGAGUCAUACGUGAGGCAGCAGUGGGGAAUAUUGCAAAAUGGGCGAAAGCAUGAUGCAGCCAUGCCGCGUGUAUGAAGAAGGCCGUCGGGUUGUAAAGUACUUUCAGCGAGGAGGCGUUACUCGUAGAAGAAGCACCGGCGAACUCCGUGCCAGCAGCCGCGGUAAUUC